rnacentral:rRNA from 1 species
UCACACGACCGUACCGCAAACCGACACUGGUGCGCGAGAUGAGUAUUCUAAGGCGCUUGAGAGAACUCAGGAGAAGGAACUCGGCAAAUUGACACCGUAACUUCGGAAGAAGGUGUGCCUUUAGUAGGUGAACCUGUACAAGGGGAGCCCAAUGAGGUUGCAAAAAAUCGGUGGCUGCGACUGUUUAAUAAAAACACAGCACUCUGCAAACACGAAAGUGGACGUAUAGGGUGUGACGCCUGCCCGGUGCUGGAAGAUUAAAUGAUGGGGUGCAAGCUCUUGAUUGAAGUCCCAGUAAACGGCGGCCGUAACGAUAACGGUCCUAAGGUAGCGAAAUUCCUUGUCGGGUAAGUUCCGACCUGCACGAAUGGCGUAACGAUGGCCACACUGUCUCCUCCUGAGACUCAGCGAAGUUGAAAUGUUUGUGAUGAUGCAAUCUCCCCGCGGAAAGACGGAAAGACCCCAUGAACCUUUACUGUAGCUUUGUAUUGGACUUUGAACAGAUCUGUGUAGGAUAGGUGGGAGGCUUUGAAGUGUGGUCGCUAGAUCGCAUGGAGCCAACGUUGAAAUACCACCCUGGUGUGUUUGAGGUUCUAACCUAGGCCCGUAAUCCGGGUCGGGGACAGUGCAUGGUAGGCAGUUUGACUGGGGCGGUCUCCUCCCAAAGCGUAACGGAGGAGUUCGAAGGUACGCUAGGUACGGUCGGACAUCGUGCUAAUAGUGCAAUGGCAUAAGCGUGCUUAACUGCGAGACUGACAAGUCGAGCAGAUGCGAAAGCAGGACAUAGUGAUCCGGUGGUUCUGUAUGGAAGGGCCAUCGCUCAACGGAUAAAAGGUACUCUGGGGAUAACAGGCUGAUACCGCCCAAGAGUUCAUAUCGACGGCGGUGUUUGGCACCUCGAUGUCGGCUCAUCUCAUCCUGGGGCUGUAGCCGGUCCCAAGGGUAUGGCUGUUCGCCAUUUAAAGAGGUACGUGAGCUGGGUUUAAAACGUCGUGAGACAGUUUGGUCCCUAUCUUCCGUGGGCGCUGCAGAUUUGAGGAAGCCUGCUCCUAGUACGAGAGGACCGGAGUGGACACACCUCUGGUGUAUCGGUUGUCACGCCAGUGGCAUUGCCGAGUAGCUAUGUGUGGAAGAGAUAACCGCUGAAAGCAUCUAAGCGGGAAACUCGUUUCAAGAUGAGAUCUGCCGGGGCCUUGAGCCCCCUAAAGAGUCGUUCAAGACCAGGACGUUGAUAGGUCGGGUGUGGAAGCGCAGUAAUGCGUUAAGCUAACCGAUACUAAUUGCUCGUGCGGCUUGACCU